ACGGGGUGCAGCAGGCGCGAACACUUUACAAUGCGGGAAACCGCGAUAAGGGAACCCCGAGUGCCAGCAUCAAAUGUUGGCUGUCCAGAUGAUUAAAAAUCAUUUGUUAGCAAGGGCCGGGCAAGACCGGUGCCAGCCGCCGCGGUAACACCGGCGGCCCGAGUGGUAGCCGUUUUUAUUGGGUCUAAAGGGUCCGUAGCCGGCCUGAUAAGUCCUUUGGGAAAUCUGGCAGCUUAACUGUCAGGCUUCUAAGGGAUACUGUCAGGCUUGGGACCGGAAGAGGUAAGGGGUACUCCAGGGGUAGGAGUGAAAUCUUGUAAUUCCCUGGGGGACCAUCUGUGGCGAAGGCGCCUUACCAGAACGGGUCCGACGGUGAGGGACGAAAGCUAGGGGAGCAAACCGGAUUAGAUACCCGGGUAGUCCUAGCUGUAAACGAUGCUCGCUAGGUGUCAGACACGGUGCGACCGUGUUUGGUGCCGCAGGGAAGCCGUUAAGCGAGCCACCUGGAAGUACGUCGCAAGGC
rnacentral:rRNA from 1 species